rnacentral:rRNA from 1 species
AGCGACCCUAGGUCAGGCGGGACUACCCGCUGAGUUUAAGCAUAUCAAUAAGCGGAGGA